AUACGUAGGGUACGAGCGUUGUUCGGAUUUAUUGGGCGUAAAGGGUCCGCAGGGGGUCUAUCAAGUCAGAUGCGAAAGCCCAUGGCUCAACCAUGGAACUGCAUUUGAAACUAUUAGACUAGAGUAUUGGAGAGGUAAAUGGAAUUUCUGGUGGAGCGGUGGAAUGCGUAGAUAUCAGAAAGAACACCGAGAGCGAAGGCAAUUUACUGGACAAUUACUGACCCUCAGGGACGAAAGCGUGGGUAGCAAACAGGAUUAGAAACCCCAGUAGUCC
rnacentral:rRNA from 1 species